GAUGAACGCUGGCGGCGUGCCUAAUACAUGCAAGUCGAUCGGAUGAGUUCUAGCUUGCUAGAAUGAUUCAGAGGCGAACGGGUGAGUAAUACAUAAGCAACCUGCCCACGAAGACUGGGAUAAUCCCUGGAAACGGGGACUAAUACCGGAUAGGUAAUUUUACCGCAUGGUAGAAUUAUUAAAGGUUAAAAACACUGGUGGAUGGGCUUAUGGUGCAUUAGCUAGAUGGUGAGGUAACGGCUCACCAUGGCGAUGAUGCAUAGCCGGACUGAGAGGGUGAACGGCCACAU
rnacentral:rRNA from 1 species